rnacentral:lncRNA from 1 species
GAGGAGGGAACCCAGACUGACGUGCAGACCGGCUCCUGACUCCUGGGGGAUGCAGCUACGGGAGCAUCCCGUCACCGUGAGCCCGCCUGCUCCGGGGAGCGCUCGGCCUGCCAAGGUAGCCGCGGCCGGCCCACCACAUCCCAGCACACCGCCCUCCGCCGCCGCAGGGAACGAGAUCGGGGUACUCCGAAGCCGGCUCACCGUUCAGGCCCACCGUGGCCACCAAAGGCCGGGCUGCGGCCUGGCCACUCAGGGACUCGCGGCACAGGAAGGGUCGCUUCACAUCCAGAACAGGUGGCUCCGAGGCGGCGGGCACCGCGCCUUGCAGCAGAGGACGCAGCGCGCCCGCCACCCCGCGGGAAGUGGCCGAUAGGACGGGCGCGAACGGGCCCGAGCGGGCGGCGACCGACAACAUGGCGACAGCUGCUCAAACCACCUCGUCGGUCACAGGGACGACCUUUCGUUCGAACGACGGCCCGAAGAGGAGCGGGAGGCGCAGGGUUUGUGACGUCAGCGCGACGCCGGAAAGGGCGUUUCGCAAGGUUGAGCGAAUCGGGAGGGACGCCGCGUUGGGGGCGUGGCUUCGGGCGCAGGUUGGGGCCCGGGCAGGAAAGGGCAGGGCCUGGAGACACUCUGGUGUCUGACUCGGUCGCCCUGCCCCAGGAAAACCGAAGUCGGGAGGGAUUUCUUGUGGUCGUGAUUGAGAUCCUUCAUUUAGGGCAAAACCUUAAAUCGGGGACGACCGAGGCAUGAGAAAAAAAAAAACAACAGGCUACUACUACUUCCUAACGCCUAUCACCUAGAAUAAAUACCAACCGCUUUUUGUCUUUUGCCAAGACGAUUUUGAUCUUCUUACAACAAAAGAGCCAGAAACCUAUAUGCAAGGUUUGACAAAAACAAAACAAAACAAAACAAAACAAAACGGUGGCUUACGAUUAUUCAUGAUCUACUACGCUUUUGAUUUGGUAGUUUCCUUCGUUGUUCAUUUGUAAUUAUGAUCUUGAUGAAAUAACACUAUUGAUACCAGCAUUUUACCAGUGAAGGACCUGGUCCUUAGACCCUUUGCUCUGCAUAGAUUGCCAGGAAGCAGUGGAGUAUUGUAGACCCCUGAGGGGUUUUUGUUUGUUUGUUUGUUUGUUUGUUUCUGAACAAGUGGGGUUUCCCAAGUGAUGUUCAGCAGUACAAAAGGGAGGGACUCUUACUCUCCUUCACAUAGUGAGAAAACUGCCAACUUUCUAACUUCUCUUUCAGUUCUGACUACACCACUAACAAAGUCUCUGUGAGGUGCUAAUAAACGUUAAUCCCUCUUACACUUGAAAAUCUCCACUUUUCCAAGUAGAACAAACCUUGAUUUCAAGUUCACACAGACAAUUGAGUUUAGAGAUGGCAUUCACUUUCAAAGAAUGAAGUUCUCAUCCAUACAACUUUCUCUAUACCAAAUACUUCGUUUAUUCUUUUAGGGUUUAAAAAGAAAAAACAGUAAAAAAAAAAAACUAAGAAUUUAAGCACUGCACACUCUGGCAUGAUUGUGAUAUGAUGCUUGUAUAAUACAUGGACUCUAGGACCUUGGCUGGUUUCUAAACCUUUGGAAUUGUAAAACAAUGUAGUUGUGUUGUUUUAAGACACUAUGUUUGUUAUAGCAGCAAUGUAAAACAACACCCAGGAGAUCCGGGCCCUCACAGAGGAAUGAUUGCAGGUGUCCUUAGCCAGGGAGGAUACUUGCUGCCUAGUCUGGGUCCUUUCUUGUCACUGUCACUUCAUUCAGUUAUGUUCUGAACAGGGACAGGACCUGGGAUAACCCCAGAGAAGCAUGCACUCCAUGUAGAUCUCACCUAAGGAACCAGGAGUGAAUAUCCACCAUGGCAGAGAUCAAUCUAACCUUUUCUCUCUCAGCUGAAUCUCCAGAUGGAAGUCUUCACCCCAAACUGCCCCUGCCUGUGGCUCUGUCUCAUGAUGGAACCAAAUCCCCAGCUAGAUGCCAACUGCUGCUGGUGGUGCCAGUGCUUGACAAGAGAUGGACCAUGGAGCUUUCCAGAUGCAUAUGACACCAUAUACAUCUGAGCUGGCCCUGGACAGACAGCCUCAGCUGAGAAACCACCCAACAAGGACGAGCCAGGGCCAGGCAUAGGUCUGUUCGUCAUCAGUUUUUGAGGAUGUCAGAGGCCAGUUCUCCUACAAGAGCCAGGAUGGCCCAUUGCAUCUUACUGAAACGUUUUCAAGCUUUGGGCUUCAGACCUCUGACUUGGGUUCAGUUCACCUGCUUUUCAAAACUAACAGAAACCUGCUAAGUUCCUUUCCUACUGUUGCUAUCUUGGUUGUGCUGCUAUCACUAAAUUUCUAAGACUAGUUAGUUACUUAUAUGUGUUUGCAUUUGUGUCCUCUACACACCAUGGCACAAGUGUCCCAUCCUGUACAUUUGGAGGUCAGGGGACACCUUGUGGGAGUCGGUCCUCUCCUAUCUCACAGGUCUUGAGGAUAGACCUCAGAUAGACCAUCCACCUUUACCUGCUGAACCAUCUCACCAGCCAUUUUCUUUAAAAUUUCUUGAGACUGGAUAAUUUUCAAAGAAUC